UUUGUUAAGAAUGUUAAGAAAGAAACGAGACAAAAAAAGAGACCAAGAAAGAGACACAGAAAGAGAGAGAGCGUUUUAUGAAAAUGGAAGCAAACUACAUGAGAAGCUGAUUGCCUCUUGUAAUGGUAGGCCAAUUCCUAUCCGUAGCUACUCUUGUGAAGAACUCCAGGGGGCAACAAAUAACUUUGAUCGUAGCCGUAUUUUUCAUACAGAUGGGCUAUAUGAAUGGUAUAAUGGUUCCUUUGAAGGCCGAAUGAUUUCCAUUAAGAAGCACUUACAACACCGCGGUGACGAUAUUUUCACUGAUAUAGCUGUUUCUGCAAAGAUGAGCACUCACAAUAAUGUUCUAAAGCUCAUAGGGUGCUGUCUCGAGGCUCAAAUUCCCAUUUCAGUGUAUGAAUCUGCUGCAAAUGGAUCACUUAGUGGUCGAGUAUAUGAUGUUACUAGUGAUCGUGAUGGUGCACAACAACAUCAACGUGAGCCCUUGUCAUGGCAGAGCAGGCUAAAGAUUGCAAGGGAAAUUGCUCAUGCAAUUUCGUAUCUCCACACUGCGUUCUCAAGACCUAUUGUCCACAGGGACAUAAAAUCAGGAAAUGUCUUCCUAGACCAAAACGAUGUUGCCAAACUAACUGAUUUUUCAUGGUCCAUAUUGAUCCCUGAAGGUGAAACUCACGUAGAGGAUUUUGUUUGUGGAACUCACACUUUUUUAUGCCCCCACUAUGCGACUACAGGCUAUAUAACGGAGAAAGUUGACGUCUACAGCUUCGGAUCGUUACUAUUAGAGCUUUGAACUGGACAGAGUUUGGUUGAGCUUUUAACUGACUAUUUUAAUUUUGAGGAUUUUGAAAUUGACGCAGAAAGAUUUACCAUAAAUGAGGUUGUGGAUCCAGCAAUCCUUGUAGGGGAAGAAGGAUCUGUUGUGUGGCAACAAUUAGAAGCUGUAUUACCGCUUGCCCUCAUUUGCAGAAAAAAGGAUCCGGAGAUCAGACCAAAUAUGGUUGAUGUUACAAAAGAGCUCAGAAAAAUUGAGAGGUUCAUCCUAUGAUUAUUAGAUCUGCCACUUCUAGCUCUCUCAUUGCUUUUGUAUUGCGGUAGGUCCAAGUGAGGAGAAGAGAGAACUGUUAGUGUUUGUUUUGUGAAAUUUUGUGUGUAAUUUUUUAGAAGUUAAAUGAGUUCAUUUUCAGGUGAA